rnacentral:rRNA from 1 species
AACGAACGCUGGCGGCAGGCUUAACACAUGCAAGUCGAACGCUCGACCUUCGGGUCGGGAGUGGCAGACGGGUGAGUAACGCGUGGGAACGUACCCUUCGGUUCGGAAUAACCCAGGGAAACUUGGGCUAAUACCGGAUACGUCCUGGCCUGGAGACAGGGUGGGAGAAAGGUUUACUGCCGAAGGAUCGGCCCGCGUCGGAUUAGCUAGUUGGUGGGGUAACGGCCCACCAAGGCGACGAUCCGUAGCUGGUCUGAGAGGAUGAUCAGCCACACUGGGACUGAGACACGGCCCAGACUCCUACGGGAGGCAGCAGUGGGGAAUAUUGGACAAUGGGCGGAAAGCCUGAUCCAGCCAUGCCGCGUGAGUGAAGAACGGCCUUUAGGGUUGUAAAGCUCUUUCAGCGGGGACGAUAAUGACGGUACCGCAGAAGAAGUCCCGGCUAACUUCGUGCC